rnacentral:tRNA from 2 species
AGCAGGGUCAGCUAAUCAAGCUAUCGGGCCCAUACCCCGAAAACGACGGUUCAACUCCCUCUCCUGCUA